UACAGGGGGUGCAAACGUUGCUCGGAAUCAUUGGGCGUGAAGCGCACGUAGGCGGUUCGUUAUGUCGGAUGUGAAAGCCCUUGGCUUAACCGAGGAAGUGCAUCCGAAACUGGCGAGCUAGAGUACUAAAGAGGAUCGCGGAAUUCCCGGUGUAGAGGUGAAAUUCGUAGAUAUCGGGAGGAACACCGGUGGCGAAGGCGGCGAUCUGGGUAGAUACUGACGCUGAGGUGCGAAAGCGUGGGGAGCAAACAGG
rnacentral:rRNA from 1 species